AUUGAACGCUGGCGGCAUGCUUUACACAUGCAAGUCGAACGGUAACAGGCCGCAAGGUGCUGACGAGUGGCGAACGGGGGCGUAAUGCAUCGGAACGUGCCCAGUCGUGGGGGAUAACUACUCGAAAGAGUAGCUAAUACCGCAUACGAUCUAUGGAUGAAAGCGGGGGACCGUAAGGCCUCGCGCGAUUUGAGCGGCCGAUGUCAGAUUAGGUAGUUGGUGGGGUAAAGGCUCACCAAGCCAACGAUCUGUAGCUGGUCUGAGAGGACGACCAGCCACACUGGGACUGAGACACGGCCCAGACUCCUACGGGAGGCAGCAGUGGGGAAUUUUGGACAAUGGGCGCAAGCCUGAUCCAGCAAUGCCGCGUGCAGGAAGAAGGCCUUCGGGUUGUAAACUGCUUUUGUACGGAACGAAACGGCUCUGGUUAAUACCCGGGGCUAAUGACGGUACCGUAAGAAUAAGCACCGGCUAACUACGUG
rnacentral:rRNA from 1 species